rnacentral:lncRNA from 1 species
UACUCUUCUGAAUUCUGACUCAGAAAGCACAAGCACAGGAGUGAUUCUACACACACAUGCUCAUCUGGAAGUACUCUGUGAUUCUGUAUGGGGAAACUAAAUGUUACUUGUGUCCUCCAGUGCCUAGCUUGGUGCCUAGGACACGGCUGAGUGAAGUUAGAAUUUAAAAUCAAAAGGUAGAGAGAUGGAGCAAUUACAGUCUGUGAACAAACUCUUCAAUGGAGGGUGAAGAGCGGGAGAAUGUGCAGUGGGAGAGGCGCGAUCCUCCUCACGGUGGGUGUGGGAGAGGCGUGCUUCAUCUGAAGAAAGGAAAGCAUUCUUCUCACAAGACUCAGGGAACCAGUGACAUUGUGAGCUUCAAAUCAGCUCUCCAGGGCCCCAGCACAGAAUGUCAGGGAGGGGACUCUGAACAGGUCUAUACCACCUUCGCUGAAACUACAGAUCCUUAUGAAGUCUAGCAAAGGAGACGACAGAAGAGUGACCACAGGGAGUUCUCAAUUCCUCACAUGGUUCAGCUUCUAUAAAAUGUCAUAUAUGGGGAUGAAGAGAUGGCUCAGCUGUUGAGAGUACAAACUGCUCUUGCAGGGGACCUGGGAUGAGUUCCUGGCUCACAAUCUUUACCCUCUGCUACAUCAGUUCCAGAGGAUCCAACACCUUGUCAGGUAUCUGAGGUUUUGCAAGGGCUGACCACUCUGCACUGGACAGCCAAUAAACCUCUUUCUAGCAAAUGGAAACCAUCACAGAAAACCACAACUGGACCCAAUGCAGAGAUGCACAGAUAGUGGAGAGCCCAACCCCGGCUCAGCACAGUGACCAACCAAGCCAAAUAUCUUCUUGAACUGGUACAUGAUGAAUGAAGAAUGUACGCUGAGAGCUCGUUGGAAGGAGAAAUGAAGAGAGAGGCCAGUUUUAGGCCAGCGUUUUCUGGAGCUGAGGAGGUCGAGUGCUGUUCGUCCUUUGGAUACCAAUUUAUCAUCAGCUGCAUGGCUCGAAUAUGUUUGUUCCCAUUACAUAAACUAUCUCUUUACUGU